rfam:Schistosoma rodhaini strain Burundi genome assembly, scaffold: SROB_scaffold0000099
AUGCAGCUAAAGAGUCCCAAAUAGGACGAAACGCGCGUCAAACUGGAU